UGGGGAAAAUUGCACGAUGGGCGCAAGCCUGAUGCAGCCAUGCCGCGUGUAUGAAGAAGGCCUUCGGGUUGUAAAGUACUUUCAGCGGGGAGGAAGGGAGUAAAGUUAAUACCUUUGCUCAUUGACGUUACCCGCAGAAGAAGCACCGGCUAACUCCGUGCCAGCAGCCGCGGUAAUACGGAGGGUGCAAGCGUUAAUCGGAAUUACUGGGCGUAAAGCGCACGCAGGCGGUUUGUUAAGUCAGAUGUGAAAUCCCCGGGCUCAACCUUGGAACUGCAUCUGAUACUGGCAAGCUUGAGUCUCGUAGAGGGGGGUAGAAUUCCAGGUGUAGCGGUGAAAUGCGUAGAGAUCUGGAGGAAUACCGGUGGCGAAGGCGGCCCCCUGGACGAAGACUGACGCUCAGGUGCGAAAGCGUGGGGAGCAAACAG
rnacentral:rRNA from 1 species